GAAGGUUAACCAACGAAAAAAAACCUACGAAGGUUAACCAGCGAUAAAAAAACCUAAACCUAUCGCCCGCUCGCUCGCGCCCCUGUUGCUCCCUCCUCAAUCCCGAUCUGGAUCGAGGGGACGAGGAGCUCCUGCCUCCCCGACGGCCGGCCUCCUCCUCGCCCCGCCGCUGCAUCCGGCGCCGCGACGGCCUCUGGAGCCAGGGAAGCCAUGACCUGAGCUCGGCCUCGAGGUCCCCGCCGCCGUCUCCUGCAGUUUCUGCCCCGCCGCCUCGCCGUCGCACCAACCUCAGCGCCGCGCCGCCGCCGGCUCUGGUCGCCUCCACCUCCGCUCCAGGCAACCCUCGGUCGCCGGCUCGCUGGAGCACGACGGCAGGCGAUGGAUGCCCUGGUUUUGUGCGACGGAUGCAGUUCUCACGCGCAAGCUAGGGUUGGAGCCGCCAGCUCUUCAUCCUGCCCGCCGGCGGCGACUCUUCCCGCCCCGCACUCCCGCCUCCCCGUUAUCACAGGGUACAUUUAUGUUUCAUGAUCUGUUCUGCAGAUUUUCAGAACACUAAGUGCAUAUCUUGCCUUGCAAUGCUGCUGAUUCGACAAUCGAACUGGAUUCAAACUGGACUUGCGACCAGAGCAACCCCAAGCAAGAUGAACUCGAUUGGAAGAUGUCUACUAAACUCUGAAGGCAAGCACUCGGCCGACACUUUUGCUCUUGUAGAAGGCAUGCCAUUUGAUUCAUGCCAAGAAGCGUACGGACAAUAUAAGCUAUUUGCUUUGGAGGAUGGUUUUGGAAUUCAUCAUGGAAAGCCGAGAUGAGGGCAUGCACGUUACCAGAUGACGCACAAAAUUGUGUGCUGGUGCUAGAUCAGUUACAUAGCGUCUUGCUUGAAAUUGUAGUACAACUAUAUUCUUGUCGUUUCCCCAACCACUCCAUGAUGGUCUUGUGCUUGAAUUUUUUCCAUGCUUUGAAAUUGCUUGGUAUUUAUAUUGUAGCUAGCAUUGUCAUUGUCUUGUUUGGUUUUCGGUGUGCAGGUUAAGAGGGACAAUGAUAAUUCUUCUUCGUGCAAAACAGAACGAAGGCGAGGAUGCGUCUCCUCCAUGCAAAGCAGGUUGGUAUGUGAGCAUAUUCAGCAACGAGCAAAAUCACCCUCUGUCUGCAAUUUGUGAAGAGAAGAGGCAGUGGAACUCACACAGUGAGAUCAAUCCAGUUCUUAUGAUUUUCAUCAAGAAUCUCAAAGCACCUCAUCAAUUUUUGCCAACAGAAACCAAUGAAAAAACAAUUGGGGGCAUCUCGAGAUUGAAGAUUGUGAAAUUUACACAAGCGAGAUAUACAAAAAGUUUGAAGAUGAGUUCUUCAAAUCAAUGUCCUUGGUUGUGUCUAGGUGCAUCAGUGAAACUGGAUGCGAAAUUAAGUGUGCGCGUCCAGAAUAUUUUCAGGCAUAUGGGAAUGUUGUGCAGACAUUUUGUUGGUUUCAGACAAUUGAAAGCAGUGCUACAGUCCAAAUUUUGCCAAGAGAAAGGAGUUUAGGGAAGACGACAGAGGAGGAAUAUGAUGUUGCCCCAACCCCAGGUACUACCUUUACACCCGUAUCCACUUUUGGACAAAAUCGGGAUCUAGAGUUCAUGAAGAGCGCAACUGAAUUUAAAAAGGUCCGUGCGUAUUCUUGGUACCUCGAGGAUGAGAGCAAGCCACCCAAAAAAUGGCCAGAAGGAAGCACCAUAUGUGCAGGUGUGUUCAUGUGCGUUAGAAGGUGAGUUUGUGCUUCUAAUUUCCUAAACAUUCCUAUUACAAACAGAAAACAUCUAUGGUUGGUGAUAAUAAUUAUUGGUGAACAUUGUUAUUGGUAAACCUGCAUGCUGUCGAUCUGCCUCUUCUUCCUGUUGCAACUAUUGAUGGCCAUUGUUAUUGCAAUUUUAUCCUAAUUUAUGUUCAGCUAUUACCAGGUUCUUUGAUUGAAUCCUAAUUCAAACUUCUAACAUACGCAAUACUUUUUGUGCAAUUAUAAGAUGAUGCAUACUCUGACAGUGCUUUGGCCACAUAAAAGGUAAAUCCAUCAUUGUGGAGAUGUCAAAGUUGUCACAAAGACAAGCAUCUGAGCUUUCUUUUUGGAAUGAAACAAAGAUGCAGACUAACCGUAUCAUGUUUUUUUUGACAUCAACCAAUAUCAUGGGUUGGUUCAGGACUUCAGGUAUAUAUCACCAGUAUAACAAUCGAUUAACCAUAGCAAUUGUUACUUUUUUUAUCUACUCUCAAAUGCUUCUCUAUUUUAAAUACCUAUUAAAUGUUGUCACAAUCACCCUAUUUCCGCCGCACUGAGGGCUAUGGCAGGAAGGAGCCCACCGUCGGCAUCGCCCAUGGCCGAGAAGACCGAGGACGCCGAGGACCCAGCGCCCUCAAGUACGAUGGCAUUCUUUCUGUUACGACUUAUGGUGAUGCCUGAGGAGUUUUGAGAUCAAUCUUGAUCUUCAUAUGACCGUGACCGGGAGGCGAACCCGGUUGCGCUUAGAGACAAUUGAUUAAUGGAGAUCCUCCAGCCACCGAGCUCGGAAAGGAAACCUAGGCGAGAAAUCCACGCUUGUCCAUACCGCUUGCCGUUUAGGACGAGCAACUUCGUGAACUUCAACCCCAUCAUGUUGACAAGGACUCGGCGGAUGAUUCCUCAUUGACUUUCUACCAGCUGCGCCAUGACUGCGUCCACAGCAUCCCGACACCAUGUUCAAGACCAAGUUCUAACCCACAUAUCCAAUCUCCCUCCAUGGAUCUUGCCUCUCAUUGACCAAGAUCAACAAUUACACUCAAUUUCAGAUUUACAAAAGAGAUGGACCUAGAGCAAACAACCUGUGAGGCUUGGUUCGUGUACAUCAACAACGUUGUAUGAUGGUGAAGUUUCUUCACUUCCCCUGACCAGACGCUGCAUGCUCUGCUCACUGAAGGUGCCCGCUGUUUGUGUUUGGAUGUUGUUGCUGCCGUAUGUCAAGGUAUGUAGCAGCAGCUUUUGUUUUCUGUUUCACACUAGCGAAUGUCAGAAUUUAUCAUGUGGGCAAUUUUUUUUACUGUAGUAUGAGUACAAGGUUCAAAGAAGUUCAGUCAUUUAGUAUCUCACAGAUUGUCUAGGCUUUAAAUUUAGGAGAUGACUUGGAAGCUCAACAUAGAAAAUUAUUUAGUCUAAUGCAGAUUACAUAUUAAACGCCUUUUCGAAGCAAGUAUGGAAGAACAUGUGGUGAGAUCUCCAUGAGAAAAUUUAAUAUAACAGUUUCUUUGACUUGAAGGAAUAUUUGCAGAUUUUUAUCUAUCGAAAGUUUGAGGGUAUCAUCUUUGCGAAAUUGAUGCUCUUGACGUCUAUUAGUAAUGGACACUUCUAUCAUUCUAUAUAUCAUUUUAUGCACUUAACUGAGAAGGCUUUCUAAUAGUUGAGGAGGCGCUCAUGAUUCUGAGCUUGGCUCUUCCUGACUAGCUCGUCACCAGGCUCACAACUGCGGAAUCAUAGGCGCGAAACGCUUCAAGGUGUCCGCCAAAGCCCGUGUCAUUGAGCAGAAAGUUGCCUCGCUCAACCAAAUUGCACCUGUCAUUGAUGCACGGCGAGGGCACUCGGAAUAUGGUGUUUCUCCGUUGCGAAGCAUGCGAUGUUGAGAGAAAAGAGGGAGACUGCACCGGAGGAAAGCGAAGCAUGGUAGCAGGUAUGAAGAUGAGAGCAUAAUGUUCUCUUUUAGCAAAGGAUCCAUGUUUCUAUUUUUUUUCAUCCCAUUGCAACGCACGGGGACCUUUGAUUUGAUUUAGUAUUAUCUUAUACUGUAGAUAGGGAAAUAUGGACACUAAAUAUCCAUUUCUUAGGUGUCAACCUGGUACAUUAGGCUGUAUAUAGUACAUGGCAGAGUUCUUCCAGCUACUAAUUCAGGUACAAGCGGUCAAGGUUGGACAUUCCACCGAUGGAAGCUGAAGCAUUAAUGAUGGGCCUGAAGUUAGCAGAAAAUUGGACGUCCACUCCCAUGCGAUGGAGAGAUUCAAUGAAAAAUAUUCAAGGCGUGAAGAACCAGUCGGAGUAUCGCACUUUAGAGGCAGUUGUCACUUAUGAUU